GAUGAACGCUGGCGGCGUGCCUAAUACAUGCAAGUCGAGCGAACGGACGAGAAGCUUGCUUCUCUGAUGUUAGCGGCGGACGGGUGAGUAACACGUGGAUAACCUACCUAUGAGACUGGGAUAACUUCGGGAAACCGGAGCUAAUACCGGAUAAUAUUUUGAACCGCAUGGUUCAAAAGUGAAAGACGGUCUUGCUGUCACUUAUAGAUGGAUCCGCGCUGCAUUAGCUAGUUGGUAAGGUAACGGCUUACCAAGGCAACGAUGCAUAGCCGACCUGAGAGGGUGAUCGGCCACACUGGAACUGAGACACGGUCCAGACUCCUACGGGAGGCAGCAGUAGGGAAUCUUCCGCAAUGGGCGAAAGCCUGACGGAGCAACGCCGCGUGAGUGAUGAAGGUCUUCGGAUCGUAAAACUCUGUUAUUAGGGAAGAACAUAUGUGUAAGUAACUGUGCACAUCUUGACGGUACCUAAUCAGAAAGCCACGGCUAACUACGUGCCAGCAGCCGCGGUAAUACGUAGGUGGCAAGCGUUAUCCGGAAUUAUUGGGCGUAAAGCGCGCGUAGGCGGUUUUUUAAGUCUGAUGUGAAAGCCCACGGCUCAACCGUGGAGGGUCAUUGGAAACUGGAAAACUUGAGUGCAGAAGAGGAAAGUGGAAUUCCAUGUGUAGCGGUGAAAUGCGCAGAGAUAUGGAGGAACACCAGUGGCGAAGGCGACUUUCUGGUCUGUAACUGACGCUGAUGUGCGAAAGCGUGGGGAUCAAACAGGAUUAGAUACCCUGGUAGUCCACGCCGUAAACGAUGAGUGCUAAGUGUUAGGGGGUUUCCGCCCCUUAGUGCUGCAGCUAACGCAUUAAGCACUCCGCCUGGGGAGUACGACCGCAAGGUUGAAACUCAAAGGAAUUGACGGGGACCCGCACAAGCGGUGGAGCAUGUGGUUUAAUUCGAAGCAACGCGAAGAACCUUACCAAAUCUUGACAUCCUUUGACAACUCUAGAGAUAGAGCUUUCCCCUUCGGGGGACAAAGUGACAGGUGGUGCAUGGUUGUCGUCAGCUCGUGUCGUGAGAUGUUGGGUUAAGUCCCGCAACGAGCGCAACCCUUAAGCUUAGUUGCCAUCAUUAAGUUGGGCACUCUAAGUUGACUGCCGGUGACAAACCGGAGGAAGGUGGGGAUGACGUCAAAUCAUCAUGCCCCUUAUGAUUUGGGCUACACACGUGCUACAAUGGACAAUACAAAGGGCAGCGAAACCGUGAGGUCAAGCAAAUCCCAUAAAGUUGUUCUCAGUUCGGAUUGUAGUCUGCAACUCGACUACAUGAAGCUGGAAUCGCUAGUAAUCGUAGAUCAGCAUGCUACGGUGAAUACGUUCCCGGGUCU
rnacentral:rRNA from 1 species